CGGGACGGGUGGGUAAGUGUCGUAGGGAAACGUCGCCUGAGGGAGGGGGAAUACUACUGGAAACGGUAGCUAAUACCGCAUAACGUCGCAAGACCAAAGAGGGGGACCUUCGGGCCUCUUGCCAUCGGAUGUGCCCAGAUGGGAUUAGCUAGUAGGUGGGGUAACGGCUCACCUAGGCGACGAUCCCUAGCUGGUCUGAGAGGAUGACCAGCCACACUGGAACUGAGACACGGUCCAG
rnacentral:rRNA from 1 species